AGAUGUCCAUCUGUCUCCCCAUGUAUCAACACAUCUCUGUCCUCACCUCCUGACCUCAACCCCUCCUUCACCUAAUCCACAGAUGUCCAUCUGUCUCCCCAUGUAUCAACGCAUUGCUGUCCUCUCCUCCAUCAAACACAUUCCAAAGCCUUCUGUCUUUCUUCAGAGAUCCAUUCUAACAGAACACCCAGUCUCUUUCAUUUCCUAUCAUUCAUUUACUAUCUCAAUGUUUAGCACAUUCAUUCUUCCCAUGACAGACUGACCAGGUGAAUCCAGGAUCCCUUAUUGAUGUCACCUUAAAUUCACUUCAAUCAGUGUAGAUGAAGGGGAGGAGACGGGUUAAAUAAUGAUUCUUUGCCAUUCAGAGGGUGAAUGGGCAAGAAAAGAUUGAAAUCAAAUUUGAUUAGUCACAAUGCAGUAAAAAAUAAUGAAUAAGAACUAAAAUUAACAAAUAAUUAAAGAGCAGCAGUAAUAAUAAUCAUAGCGAGACUAUAUGCAGGGGGUACCGGCUAGUAAUGAGACUAUAUGCAGGGGGCACCGGUUAGUAAUGAGACUAUAUGCAGGGGGCACCGGUUAGUAAUGAGACUAUAUACAGGGGGUACCGGUACAGAGUCAAUGUGCGGGGUCACCGGUGUCAUACCUCUGCACCAUCUCUCUGUCUCCUACACCCAGGAUGCUGUGGUCAGAGAGGUCGUAAAUUCCUGGAGGAGAAUAUCUCCUCAUGGCCAGAGUAUUUAGAGAAAGUGAGUUUUCAUAUAGAGAGAGAAGGAGGAUAUACACCCAAAAGGGUCACGUUGUGGCAAUACAGACAGGUGGUUAGUAAAGUAACCUGGAGUAAAGUGAGCCGGUACUCCAGAGGUGAAGAGAGGGCAGGGUGAAAGAAGAGGCCUAAAGUGCAGGAAGGAGCCGUCUAGAAGAGGCCUAAAGGACAGGAAGGAGCCGUCUAGAAGAGGCCUAAAGGGCAGGAAGGAGCAGACUAGAAGAGGGUUGGUCAGUGUCCUCCUAGUCCUCACUGGCUCCGUGGUCAGUAAGGAUCCUUCCUCUGGCUCAGGAGGGGUCGACUAGCUCAACAGGUAGCACUACGGAUCACCUCCAUCCACCUGGAGACAGACAGACAGGUUAGAGACAGACAGGUAGCACUACGGAUCACCUCCAUCCACCUGGAGACAGACAGACAGGUUAGAGACAGACAGGUAGCACUACGGAUCACCUCCAUCCACCUGGAGGAAGACACAGGUAGCACUACCAAACACCACACUACUGAAAACAACAAGAC
ensembl:lncRNA